rnacentral:rRNA from 1 species
CCUACGGGGGGCAGCAGUCGAGAAUCAUUCACAAUGGGGGAAACCCUGAUGGUGCGACGCCGCGUGGGGGAAUGAAGGUCUUCGGAUUGUAAACCCCUGUCAUGUGGGAGCAAAUUAAAAAGAUAGUACCACAAGAGGAAGAGACGGCUAACUCUGUGCCAGCAGCCGCGGUAAUACAGAGGUCUCAAGCGUUGUUCGGAAUCACUGGGCGUAAAGCGUGCGUAGGCGGUUUCGUAAGUCGUGUGUGAAAGGCGAGGGCUCAACCCGCGGACGGCACAUGAUACUGGGAGACUAGAGUAAUGGAGGGGGAACCGGAAUUCUUGGUGUAGCAGUGAAAUGCGUAGAUAUCGAGAGGAACACUCGUGGCGAAGGCGGGUUCCUGGACAUUAACUGACGCUGAGGCACGAAGGCCAGGGGAGCGAAAGGGAUUAGAUACCCCAGUAGUC